GGGUCGGCUUAACCGGCCGGAAUGAAUUUCAGUCUGAACCCCCGAAACUAAGUGAGCUACUUCGAAACAAUCUAAAGAACUAACCCGUCUCUGUCGCAAAAGAGUGGGACGAUUUCCAAGUAGAGGCGAUAAACCUACCGCACUUAGAGAUAGCUGGUUACUCAAGAAAAGAAUUUAAGUUCUACCUUAAGUUUCUAAAUUACACAAAAAAACCAUUAAACUUAAGAGCUAUUCAAAUAAGGCACAGCUUACUUGAAUAAGGAUACAACCUACAAUACAGGGUAAUUUUUAUUUAACCAAUAAUAAGUAGGCUUAAAAGCAGCCACCUAUAAAAAGCGUCAUAGCUUCCUACUACUUUAUACAAAUACCUCCCCCUAUUACUAACCCUUCAGUAUUAUUGAGUAACUCCAUAAACCUAUGGAAAUUAUUAUGCUAGAACUAGUAACAAGAAAUAAAACUUCUCCUAAAUGCAAGCCUAAGCCAUCAUAGACAAACUACUGGCAAUUAACGUAAAUGAACCUAUUAUAGCAACUUCACCAAGAAAAACCUAUAUUGUGCAACGUCACCCUUACACUAGAGCAUUAAAGGAAAGAUUAAAAGAAUUAGAAGGAACUCGGCAAACCCUAAUUAACCCCGCCUGUUUACCAAAAACAUCGCCUCUUGACUAAAUAUAAGAGGUCUAGCCUGCCCAGUGACAAAUUUAACGGCCACGGUACCCUAACCGUGCAAAGGUAGCAUAAUCACUUGUUCUUUAAAUGAGGACUCGUAUCAACGGCAUCACGAGGGUUCUACUGUCUCCUUUUUCUAAUCAGUGAAACUAAUCUCCCCGUGAAGAAGCGGGGAUAUAACUAUAAGACGAGAAGACCCCAUGGAGCUUUAAACCCAAUUACACUCCUAAUUACUAUUCCCUCUUAACCUCCUAGGACCCUGUAUUAUUGGCUUUAGGUUGGGGCGACCACGGAGUACAAUUUAACCUCCACGAUGAAUGGGAUAAAUCCCUUAUCCAAGAACCACAUAUCUAAGAACUAGUACACUAACAUAUAAUGAUCCGCUAAACGAUCAACGAACCAAGUUACCCUGGGGAUAACAGCGCAAUCCAUUUCAAGAGCCCCUAUCGACAAAUGGGUUUACGACCUCGAUGUUGGAUCAGGAUACCCCAGUGGUGCAGCA
rnacentral:rRNA from 1 species